GAUGAACGCUGGCGGCGUGCCUAAUACAUGCAAGUCGAGCGAACGGACGAGAAGCUUGCUUCUCUGAUGUUAGCGGCGGACGGGUGAGUAACACGUGGAUAACCUACCUAUAAGACUGGGAUAACUUCGGGAAACCGGAGCUAAUACCGGAUAAUAUUUUGAACCGCAUGGUUCAAAAGUGAAAGACGGUCUUGCUGUCACUUAUAGAUGGAUCCGCGCUGCAUUAGCUAGUUGGUAAGGUAACGGCUUACCAAGGCAACGAUGCAUAGCCGACCUGAGAGGGUGAUCGGCCACACUGGAACUGAGACACGGUCCAGACUCCUACGGGAGGAAGAAGUAGGGAAUCUUCCGCAAUGGGCGAAAGCCUGCCGGAGCAACGCCGCGUGAGUGAUGAAGGUCUUCGGAUCGUAAAACUCUGUUAUUAGGGAAGAACAUAUGUGUAAGUAACUGUGCACAUCUUGACGGUACCUAAUCAGAAAGCCACGGCUAACUACGUG
rnacentral:rRNA from 1 species